rnacentral:rRNA from 1 species
GCCGCGGUAAUUCCAGCUCCAAUAGCGUAUAUUAACGUUGUUGCAGUUAAAAAGCUCGUAGUUGAAGUUGGAUGAGUAUUUGAAUUCAAUUUUCGAAUUGGUUUCAAAUCCUUAUCAUUUCUAGUAGUUAUGCUUGGGUAUUCAAUUACUUGAGUAUGAUAGCUAGUCAUUUACUGUGAGAAAAUUAGAGUGUUUAAAGCAGACGUUUGUUUGAAUAGAUUAGCAUGGAAUAAUAAUGAUAUGCUUGAUUUCAUGUAUUGGUUAUGAAAGAUAGCAAGAUUAAAAGGGACAGUUGGGGGUAUUCAUAUUCAAUAGUUAGAGGUGAAAUUCUCGGAUUUAUGGAAGAUGAACAAAUGCGAAAGCAUUUACCAAGGAUGUUUUCAUUAAUCAAGAACGAAGG